rnacentral:lncRNA from 1 species
UUGGGGGAAACCAGCUGCCAUGUUGUGAGAUGCUCAAGCAGCUGUAUGGAGGAGCCCAUGUGGAAAAAAACUGAGCACCCCUCACAACCGAUAUUCCCUUACCAGGAGUGUGGCAAGCCUCCCUGGAAGCAGACUCUUCAGCACCAGUCAAGCUUUCAGAUGCUGCAGCCAUGGGCAAUGACUUUGCUGCAAUCUUACGAGAGACUAAGCCAGAACCACCCAGCUAAGUGGCUCCCACAUUCAUGACUCACGAAAACUGUGUGAGGACACAUGGUGAAUAGAGGGCUUGCUGGCAAUUGGUUCACAAGCUGAGGAGGGCACAAAGGCCAGAUAUUUCAUCUGAAGAGUUCACAGCCUAUUAAAAACAUUAACAAGGUUUUACUGCCUCACCUAGGAUGGAAAUAAUUGCUUUAAAGUGAACUGGCAUUAAAGUGAACACAUCAAGACUACCUACUUGGAAGCUACAGGAGACAGAAACAGAAAACACGACUCCUGAAUCAUGUUCCAUUACUUUAAUCGCUAAACACUGCUCCGUUUAAGCUAAAGAGAUAUAAUGGUACAUUUGACAGAUGCCUUCACAUCAAGAUGAGAUAGGGCCCUGAAAGUCGCAUGUUGAACCUUUCUUACCUUCUACGAGGAUGUCACUCAAAAUUUUCUCAAUUCCUCUUCAUUGGCUGAUUACACAAUACAGAGUCAUUCCUAGUGCAGCCCAAUCCUCUCCCCAGGUGAACCUUGCUUUACACAAAACACCUGUGUAUAAAUAACCUGGUAAUCAUUCAAGUUGUAUUCUAAAUGCACCACAGAGAUCUCACUUUUUAAGGAACACUGAAAUAAAUGCUUUAGUGAAGCAGAAUAGCCCUUUUGUAAUGUAAACAAUAUAAGCCUAGAUAAAGCUUCCAAUUUACCUAAGUUUAGAUUUUUGCAUAUUGGGUUUCAUUAAAGCAGCACAUAUCUGUAAACGAAAAUAUUUU